AUGUACGCUGACGACGCGAAGCCGACACAAGCGCACAACCACCGUCGAAGUCCCUUUUUCCGCCAAUUUUGCGUGUCGUCUUCCGUCGCGAAAUCUUCUACGGUAACCUUUCCUUCUUAUUUUCUAGUUUUGAUUCAUGAGUUUCAUGUGAUUUUGUAUGGGGUUCAUGGGAGAUUAGCUCUUGUUGUUGUUUGGAAAAUUAGAAAGAAAUAG